rnacentral:rRNA from 1 species
CCCUUAGAUGUUCUGGGCUGCACGCGCGCUACACUGACAUGUCCAGCGAGCUCCCAACCUGCUCGGCAAAGAAUGGGUACCCUUUUUAACGCAUGUCGUGAUGGGGAUAGAUUAUUGCAAUUAUUAGUCUUGAACGAGGAAUUCCUAGUAAGCACAAGUCAUCAGCUUGUGUUGAUUACGUCCCUGCCCUUUGUACACACCGCCCGUCGCUCCUACCGAUUGAAUGCUCAGGUGAGCCAUUCGGACUUUCAUCAUGCUGGUUUCCAGUUUUGAUGAAGGAAAGUCUUGCGAACCUUAUCAUUUAGAGGAAGGAGAAGUCGUAACA